UAAAGGUAUGUGUGAAUGGCUUGCCA
rnacentral:sRNA from 1 species